rnacentral:tRNA from 1 species
ACCGCGAUAGCUCAGCUGGUAGAGCGUCUCCCUGUUGUGCGGAGGGUCGCCGGUUCGAUCCCGGCUCGCGGAG